GCCGGCGUUCCAGAGGGGCCCCGCCCUCGUCUUGGAACUGGAGACCCCGGCUGAGCACCUCUGGGAGGUUUCUGUAGUGCUCUCAGCCCCUCCGCGCCCCUCUCGGGCGGGUGAACUCCACUCAGCCGUCGUCUCCCCUGGUUUCCCAUACCAACGUCGAGUUCAGCCACAAAACCCACAUCCCCCAACCACAUCUCCACCGCAGGCUUCCGCCUUUCCGUAGCCGAACCUGAGCGACCCGCCCCAUGGUGACAAGCCGCCUUCAUUCCCACAAGCCCUGGGGCUUCUUCAGCUCCCAAGGGUCUCUCUAUAGCUUUGGAACCUAUCCUGGAACGCUAUAUAAACCAGGCUGCUCUCGAAACUCAGAUAUUCGCCUGUCUCUGCCUCUCGAGUACUGGGACUAAAGGCGAGCACCACCACCACCCGGCUUACAUAAAGCAUUCUUGCAAAUUCUUCCCUGAAAUCUCCAACGAGAUGCCAUUGCCCAUAUCUUGUUUAGAAUGUGCUGGAAUGGCUGAAUUGAAGAAUCUUGGUCCUUGACAAUGUUGUAGGGUUUCUCUGUGGCUUUGGAGGCUGUCCUGGAACUCGCUCUUGUAGACCAGACUGGUCUCGAACUCACAGAGAUCUACUUGCGUCUGCCACCCAAGUGCUGGGAUUAAAGGCAUGUGCCAUCACC
rnacentral:lncRNA from 1 species